rnacentral:rRNA from 1 species
AGUGAACGCUGGCGGUAGGCCUAACACAUGCAAGUCGAACGGCAGCACAGUAAGAGCUUGCUCUUACGGGUGGCGAGUGGCGGACGGGUGAGGAAUACAUCGGAAUCUACUUUUUCGUGGGGGAUAACGUAGGGAAACUUACGCUAAUACCGCAUACGACCUACGGGUGAAAGCAGGGGAUCUUCGGACCUUGCGCGAUUGAAUGAGCCGAUGUCGGAUUAGCUAGUUGGCGGGGUAAAGGCCCACCAAGGCGACGAUCCGUAGCUGGUCUGAGAGGAUGGUCAGCCACCCUGGAACUGGGCCACGGUCCAGACUCCUACGGGAGGCAGCAGUGGGGAAUGUUGGACAAUGGGCGCGAGCCUGAUCCAGCCAUACCACGUGGGUGAAGAAGGCCUUCGGGUUGUAAAGCCCUUUUGUUGGGAAAGAAAAGCAGCAGGUUAAUACCCCGCUGUUCUGACGGUACCCAAAGAAUAAGCACCGGCUAACUUCGUG